rnacentral:lncRNA from 1 species
UUGAACGAAGUCCCUGCGCGUAACACCACAGCCUUGCCAAACUCCGAGAGCAGCAGAGCGGCACCGGAGGCGGCCAGAUUACGGGUUACCGCGGCCGCGUCGUGCUUGACAGGGGCCGCGCGGGUCGACAGUGCGCGAGGCCCAGAGUUCGGGUGAUCUGAAUCGAUGGUUCCCCCAGAUCAGAGCCUGCAAGCAUGUGCACUAUCUGGGGACUUCCGUCACCUGCACCGCCAAGGUUCUUGGUCGGGAACAACUUCCGCGGCUUGCAGGUGAACUUUCACAUC